rnacentral:rRNA from 1 species
UACGGAGGGGGCUAGCGUUGUUCGGAAUCACUGGGCGUAAAGGGUGCGUAGGCGGGUUAUUAAGUCAGAGGUGAAAUCCUGGAGCUCAACUCCAGAACUGCCUUUGAUACUGAUAGUCUUGAGUAUGGGAGAGGUGAGUGGAACUGCGAGUGUAGAGGUGAAAUUCGUAGAUAUUCGCAAGAACACCAGUGGCGAAGGCGGCUCACUGGCCCAUAACUGACGCUGAGGCACGAAAGCGUGGGGAGCAAACAGG